GGAAUCAUCGGCAUGCACCGCCUCCAGCCACCGCAUGCAACCACCACCGUUCCCACAGCCAUGCCUAGUCGGAAAUGCAACUUCCAACCACUUUCUCCCCUCACUGCCAUCACAAAUCGAUUCGGAACAAGCCACUCACUCAAAGCCCCGAAGCUUUUGCAUUGUCUGACGCCGGAAGACCACCGAACACGCCUCACGUCAAAGCCCCCGCCACUGCCUGUCUCCGAUCUCUAAUUUCCAUUUCGAAUCGAGCUACAAUACCGGAAUGGAUACAAUCAUCGCUUCACGACCUCCCAAAACCCCAAACUCAGGACCUCCGGUUUCGGCCAGAGCCUCCACACGCGCCUCACGCGCCGCCGCUGGCACGUGAGCUACCCAGACACGCUGUGAGCGUCACCGGCUUACUCUUCCAUCUGGUGAGCUAGAUUUCGUCACACCUCUCCAUAAUUGAAACCUCUAGUUUGAUUUGGACAGAGAACCCUAACUCUAUCGUUUGAAUUCCGGAUUGUGUGAGGUUAUGGAUUUCUGCGUUCCUGGAAGUUUUGGGGAAGGAGAAGAAUGUUGGGUCAGUUUCAAUUGAAACGGGAAGAGGUGUUUACAUGACUGUUGAUGGUGAAUUGCAGUGAUUGGAAUUAACUUCCAAAUCUGGUAAAGAAGAAUGGUAAGGUUUGGAUACUUGGAUUUGUUACUUGGUGAGGUUGUUAAAAAUCAGCAGAAUGUUGUUUGUAGUCUCGUGAAUGGAAAAGUGUUAAAAUGGGGAUAUUGAUAUGUUGUUGAAUUUAUGA